GAUGAAGAACGUAGCGAAAUGCGAUAAGUAAUGUGAAUUGCAGAAUUCAGUGAAUCAUCGAGUCUUUGAACGCACAUUGCGCCCCCUGGUAUUCCGGGGGGCAUGCCUGUCCGAGCGUCAUUGCUGCCCUCAAGCGCGGCUUGUGUGUUGGGCCCCGCCCCCCGGCUCCCGGGGGGCGGGCCCGAAAGGCAGCGGCGGCACCGCGUCCGGUCCUCGAGCGUAUGGGGCUUCGUCACCCGCUCCGUAGGCCCGGCCGGCGCCCGCCGGCGACCCCCCUCAAUCUUUUCAGGUUGACCUCGGAUCAGGUAGGGAUACCCGCUGAACUUAAGCAUAUCAAUAAGCGGAGGA
rnacentral:misc_RNA from 1 species